rnacentral:rRNA from 1 species
ACCUCGGAUCAGGUAGGAUUACCCGCUGAACUUAAGCAUAUCAAUAAGCGGAGGAAAAGAAACCAACAGGGAUUGCCUCAGUAACGGCGAGUGAAGCGGCAACAGCUCAGAUUUGGAAUCUGGUCCUUUGGGGCCCGAGUUGUAAUCUGGAGAGGAUGCUUCUGGCGCGGCGCCGUCCGAGUUCCCUGGAACGGGACGCCGGAGAGGGUGAGAGCCCCGUACGGUCGGACGCCUAGCCUGUGUGAAGCUCCUUCGACGAGUCGAGUAGUUUGGGAAUGCUGC